rnacentral:lncRNA from 1 species
UUUCUUUUUUUUCUUUUUCUUUUUUUUUCUUUUUGCCUUUUCUAUGGCCACACCCACGGCAUAUGGAGGUUCCCAGACUAGGGAUCUAAUGGAGGUUCCCAGCCUAUGCCAGCGCCACAGCAAUGCCAGAUCCGAACCGCAUCUGUGACCUACACCACAGCUCAUGGCAACGCUGGAUCCUUAACCCACUGAGCAAGGCCAAGGAUCAAACCUGCAACUCCAUCGUUCCUAGUCAGAUUUGUUAACCACUGAGCCACAAGGGGAACUCUGAAAGGGAUUUUCUUAUCAAGGUCACAUCCCUUUAAAUAUCCUUAUCAAUCCCAUUUUAUCUUACUACUACAGCAAGUAACAGUCAACUGUCUUUUUUAGUGAUAGUUUUGUACACUGAAGGUAAUUCUUAGGGUAUAGCUUAAGGAAGAUGCAGGUCAACAGUUGAUUACUAAAAGAAAAAAAUAUAUAGUAUUUUUUGGUAUUUUUCUUGUUCAUUAGUCCUUCAACUAAUGUUUAUUUGGUGACCCUAUUGUGCCUACAUCUGUAUUACAUACAAAGGAUAUGCUAAAAGGGGAAAAUAGACAUGAUUGCUGUUUGCUUGUGGUUAUAGACUGGGUUGUAUGGGAGGAAGUAUAUGCAGAAAAUAACAUUGUAAUAAAAGCCACAAGAUGGAGCAAUGCUGAUCAUAUAACUAUUAGGCAAGGAAACAAAAAACGUUUCUUUUUACUAUUCUUGUUGAAAUAUAGUUGAUAUACAAUAUUAUAUUAGUUUCAUGUACACUAAGUAAUGAUUUUAUAUUUACAUACAUUAUUCAAUAAUCACCAUGGUAAGUCUAGCAACCAUCUGUCCCCAUAUGAAUUUUAGCAAUACUAUUGACCAUAUUAUUUAUGCUGUAUAUUAUAUCCCCAUAGCUUAUAUAUUUUAAAACUAGAGAUUUAUACCUCUUAAUCCUCUUUAUCUAUGUCAUCCUCCAAUACCCCUCCUUCUGGUCACCACUCAUUUGCCCUAUCAAUGAGUCUAUUUCUGUUUUGUGUGUCUUGAUCUUUAGAUUAUAAAUACAAAUGAGAACAUAUUUCUCUUUGUCUGACUUUUUACAUUUUAUUUGUUUUUAUUGAGAGUAGGGUUGAUUUAUACAAUUUUAUUAAUUUCAGCUGUAAAGCAUGGUAAUUCAGUGUUUUUACAGAUUAUACUCUUUGAAAGUAUUAUAGGAUAAUGGGUAUAAAUACCUGUACUAUACAGUACCUCAUUUUGCUUAUCUAUUUUAUACAUAAUAGUUCAUCUCUUAAUCCCAUACUCCUAGUUUGCCUUUUCACCCUUACUUCUCCUCUUUAGUAACCACUAGUUUGUGUUCUAUAUCCAUUAGACUGUUUCUGUUUUGCAUGUAUAUUUGUUUAUAUUACUUUUUAGAUUCCACUUAUGAGAUAUCGAAUAUGUUUUUCUUUCUCUGUCUUAUUUCACUAAGUAUAAUAUUCUCUAGGUCCAUCCAUGUUGCUACAAAUGGAAGAAUUUUAUUGUUUUUUAUGGAUAAGUAAUAUUUCAUUGUGUAUAUAUCACACCUUCUUUAUCCAUUCGCCUAUUGAUAGGCACUUAGGUUGCUCCCAUUUCUUGGCUAUUGCAAAUUGUGCUUCUAUGAACAUUGGGGUACAUGUAUCUUUUCAAAUUAAUGUUUUUAUUUCAUCCAGAUAUUUACCCAGGAGUUGAAUUACUGAUUCAUAUGGUAGUUCUAUUUUUAGUUUUUGAGGAGAUUCCAUUCUGUUCUCUGUAAUUGCCUAAUCAAUUUACAUUUCCUCUGACAGCGUACAAAAAUUCCCUUUUCUACAUAUCCUCUUCAAUAUUUAUUGUUUGUAGAUAUUUUGAUGAUAGUCAUUCUAAACAGUGUAAAGUGAUGUCUAGUUGUUUAUAUUUGCAUUUAUCUAGUAAUUAGUGCUGGUGAACAUCUUUUCACAUGCCUGUUAGCCAUCUCUAUGUCUUCUUUAGAAAAACCUCUGUUUAGGUCUUAUGCCCAUUCUUGAUUAAGUGUUUCUGUUUUGAUAUUGAGCUGUGUGAGCUGUUUAUAUAUUUUGGGUAUUAAUCUAUUGUCAGUCACAUUAUUUAUAAACAUUUUUUCCCAUUCCAUAAGUUGUCUUUCUGUUCUUUUGAUGGUUUCCUUUGCUGUGCAAAAGCCUGCAAGUUUAAUUAGGUCCCAUUUUUUAAUUUUUGCUUUAACUUGUUUUGCCUUAGGAUACAGAUCCAAAAAGUGUAUUGCUGCAACUUAUAUCAAAGAGUUUCUGUCUAUGUCCUCUUCUAAGUGUCUUAGGAUUGCAGGUAUUACAUUUAGGUCAAUCCAUUUUGAAUUUAUUUUUGUACAUAGUGUUAGAAAAUACUUUGACUCAUGGUUUUACAUGUGGCUGUCCAGUAUUCCUAGCACCACUUGUUGAAGUGUAUUUUUUCCAUUGUAUAUUCUUGCUUCCUUUGUCAAAGGGUAAUUGAUCAUAGGAGUUUGGAUUUAUUUCUGGGGUUUUUAUUCUGUUCCAUUGCUCUUUGUGUCUGUUUUUGUGCCAGUGUUAUGCUGUUUUGAUUUCUGUCAGUUUCUAGUAUAGUCUGAGGCCUGGGAACAUGAUGCUUCUAGCUUUGUUCUUUUUUUUCUGAAUAUUUCUUUGACAAUUCAGGGUGUAUUGUAUAUAUGACUUUUAGGAUUAUUUGUUCUAGUUCUGUGGAAAAUGGAAUGGAUAUUUUGAUAAAUUGCAUUAAAUCUAUAGAUUGCUUUGUGCAGUUUGCCAUUUUAACAGUAUUCUUCCAGUUUUAGAGCAUAUCUUUCAAUUUCUUUGUAUUCAAUUUCCUUCACUAAUGUUUUAUGGCUUUUAGAAUAUAGGGCUUUUACUUAUUUAAAUUUAUUCUUAGAUAUUUUAUUCUUUUUAUGUGAUUUUUAAAAUGGGAUUUUUUUUUACUUUCUCUUUCUGGUGGUUUCAUCAUGGUGUAUAGAAGAGCAACAGAUUUUGCUAUAUUAAUCUCAUGUUCUGAAAUUUUACUGAAUUAAUUUAUUCUAAUAGUUUUGGGGUGGAGACUUUAGAGUUUUAUAUGUAAAGUACCAUGUCUGCAAGUAAUGACAGUCAUCUUCUCUUCCAAUCUGGAUGACUUUUAUUCUUUUUUGUGUGAUUGCUAUGGCUACAACAGUAUUAUGACUUCUAAUACUGUUAUAUAGAAAUGGGAAGAGUGAACAUCUUUGUCUUAAUCCUGAAGUUGAAAGAAAUGAUUUCAGCUUUUCACUGUUUAGUAUAGUGUUAGCUGUGGGUUUGUCAUAAACGGCCUGUACAAUGUUAAAAUACUUUCCUCUAUAUCCACUUUGAUGAAGAUUUUUAUCAUAAAUGAAUGUUGAAUUUUUUUUUCAAAUAUUUCAUUCUGUCUCUAAUGAAAUAAUCAAUGAAUAUGUGAUCUAUGUUUAUCCAAAGAUCAGGUUGCCUCUGUUAAUACAAGCCUGAGUCUUUUCCCUGAUCAUAGUUGCCCGUGAUCCAGUGCUGCACCGUGGCACGGAGUGAGCAAGCAUUGUAGAAUUUGCUUGACUCUGGCUGGGCUGCAAGGUAGUCAUGGGAAACUUGGCACCUCCUAGGGAAGCCCUGCCUCAGGGGUAAGUCCCCUUAGUCUCAUAAUUGAUAAUUUUUCCCAGAUUGUGAUGUUCCUGCCCUGUCGUGGAACUGCUCUAUAGGGUAGGAAUGGAAGCCUGUGUGGUCUCUCUGUGAGUAUUGGGGAUGAGCUGUGGUAGCAUGGCCACUGUCAGAAUUCUGGUCAGCUUCUGAGGUGCCAUUUGGUUCAGUGCCAACAAUAACCACUGCUGCCCCACCCGAGCGCUGUCAUGAGACUGGAUCUCUUCUGUGUCCUACACUCGAGGCUUUUCCCCUGUCCUGAUUACCUCAAGUAAAGUGUCCUGCUGUGGUGUGGAAUGAAUGGAGCCAGAGCAUUUUCCAGGCUAUGGCUGAGGUAUGUGAAAUGGUACAGGAAACCUAGAGGCUAUCAGAGUAGAUCUUUCCUUGCCCUGCCUUGGGAGUAGUCAGCAUGUGCACUUCACAGGAGUGGAGCCCAGGCUUCAUUCAGCCCUUUUAUUUGUAACAGUCGUCCUCCAACCAGCCAAAAGGGCUUUUCUCCUUCAUAUAGAACCAUAGGACUGGGACACACGGCAGAUGUCCACAUUUAAAAAUCUCCCUUUCUCUUUGAGUCCCCUCCCAGGGACACAGAUUCUGACCUGAUCACUUUUCAUCCCUUCCUACCUGGUUAUGUGAGUAUCUUUCUUAUAGCAUGGGCUAUACAUGAGUCGUUCUACCAGUUUCCAGUUAGUUAUAAGUGAUAACUGUUCCACAUGGAGAUAUAUUUUUCAUGUGCUCAAGGAGGGAAAAACAGCUCCACCCUUUUAUUCUGCCAUCUUGAUCGAUCCCCUGUCUCACUUGGUUCACUUAGCAUAAUAUGACCUAGAUCCAUGCAUGCUGUUGUAACUUACAUAAAUUCAUUGCAGUUUGUAUGGCUGAGUAAUAUUCCAUUGUGUGUAUAUGUAUUUAUAUAUCAUUGUAUAUCUGUAACACACAUUUUUAUUCAUCUUUUGAUGAACAAUUAGGUUACUUCCAUAUGUUGACACUUGUAAAUAGUAUGGCAGUAAAAAUGGGGGUGCAUAUUAUCAUUUUGAAUUAAAGUUUUUUUUCUUCAGGUAAAUACUCAGAAGUGAGGUUCCUAGAUCAUAUGGCAGUUAUAUUUUUAAUUUUUUGAGAAAUUUCCAUAGUAUUUUCCUUAUAGUAUUUGCCUAUUUAUAUUCCCACCAAUAGUGCACGAGUUUUCCCUUUUCUCCAUAUCCUUGGCAAUGCUUCUUAUUGUCUUUUUGAUGAUAGCCAUUUUGACAGGUGUGGGAGAGUAUCUCAUUGCGGUUUUGAUUUGCAUUUCCCUGAUAAUCAGUGAUAUUAAGCAUCUGUUCAUGUGUCUGUUGGACAUCUAUAUAUCUUUGGAACAGAGUCUAUUUUAAUGCCUGAAACCAUGAAACUCCUAGAAUAAAACAUAGGAAGUGUGCUCUUUGACAUCAGUCUUGUAAAUAUUUUCUUGGAUCUUUCUUCUAAGGCAAGAGAAAUAAAGGCAAAAACAAACAAAUGGCAUUGCAUCGAACUAAAAUGCUUUCAAAUGAGAAGGGACACCAUCAACAAAAUGAAAAGCCAGUCACUGAAUGAGAAGAGAUAUUUACAAGCCAUAUAUCCUAUAAAAGGUUUAUAUCUAAAAUAUACAAGGAACUCAUACAAUGUAACUUCAAAAAAAAAAAAAA